UUUAACAUGACUGUCCAGGAUGUAGUGGCUACGAAGGACGUGGUGUCAGGUAUAAUCCCAAUCAAUAAUAUAAAUGUUUAUGUAUUAUUUGAUUCGGGUGCCACCGGUUCUUUUGUAUCUGAAAAAUUUGCUAGUAAAUUUAGUACACCCCAAGAAUGUUUAGAUGAUUCCUUGAACAUAGAGGUUGCGAAUAAGGAAAUAAUCCCUGUAGAGUACGUUUAUCAAAAUUAUCGC
rnacentral:lncRNA from 1 species